rnacentral:tRNA from 2 species
GGGGCUGUAGCUCAGUUUGGGAGAGCGCUAGAAUCGCACUCUAGAGGCCGAGGGUUCGAGCCCCUUCAGCUCCACCG